rnacentral:sRNA from 1 species
GCUUGCGUGCCCCAGCGACACAGGCCUCGAGGCUGUCUCUGACAAGUGUUCACAGGAGGUGGGGACGCCUCUGCGCGAGGAACGAGGAGCUACGGGCCUGGGCCCGGUUAUUGCCAUGGGCAGCGGCUGCCGCAUCGAAUGCAUAUUCUUCAGCGAGUUCCACCCCACGCUGGGACCCAAGAUCACCUAUCAGGUGCCACCCGGGCUCGCGGGACUGGGCGGGGAGAGGGACGUUCUCGAGAGCUCAACUGGCUGCCUGAAGGCAGUAGUUUCCCGUGCUGCACGCAGGCAUGCUACUUCAUUCGCAGACAACUGUGAGGCUAGAGGAUAGUCAGACCCAGGCCCCCGGCUCCCAAUGUGGCAGGGAAGACAUACGUCACAUUGGCAGUGUUUGUAGGAUAUCGGGCUGUAGGGAUCCGGUUGGGGGGUUCCAGGUCCCACAGAAGGUGAGUUGGGUGACCCAUGAGUAUCCCUGAACUGAGUGAAGAGUAAAUGAUGCAUAGGAAGUUUAGAUAAGGCAGGAGAAAGUGUUCCAGGUAGAGGGAACAGCAUAUGCAGAAGCCAGGAAGGAGGUGAGAUCAUAGCGUAUGUUUGGAAACAGAAAGAAGUAAUAGGCCUGAGUGGAUGGGAGAGAGGGGAACGCUGGAGAAGAGGACUUGGGCUUGGGGGGCAUGAGGAGGUCACCAUUUGUACUACACACAGUACAGAUGUCCACUGACGGGCCCAUUGCCACUCCCCUCCCCAGGUCCCUGAAGACUUCAUCUCCCGAGAGCUGUUUGACACAGUCCAAGUGUAUAUCAUCACCAAGCCAGAGCUGCAAAACAAGCUUAUCACUGUCACAGCUAUGGAAAAGAAGCUGAUCGGCUGUCCUGUGUGCAUCGAACACAAGAAGUACAGCCGCAAUGCUCUCCUCUUCAACCUGGGCUUCGUGUGUGAUGCCCAGGCCAAGACCUGCGCCCUCGAGCCCAUUGUUAAAAAGCUGGCUGGCUAUCUGACCACACUAGAGAGAGCAGCUUCGUGUCCACGGAGGAGAGCAAGCAGAAGUUGGUGCCCAUCAUGACCAUCUUGCUGGAGGAGCUAAAUGCCUCAGGCCGGUGCACUCUGCCCAUUGAUGAGUCCAACACCAUCCACUUGAAGGUGAUUGAGCAGCGGCCAGACCCUCCGGUGGCCCAGGAGUAUGAUGUACCUGUCUUUACCAAAGACAAGGAGGAUUUCUUCAACUCACAGUGGGACCUCACUACACAACAAGUAUGCCAUCCCUCCCUGGGUAUCAUCACCUGGGGCUGGCCACAGCCCUGGCCUCAUCCUGUUUCUUCUGACCUUGUCCCACUCUGCCCAGAUCCUGCCCUACAUUGAUGGGUUCCGCCACAUCCAGAAGAUUUCAGCAGAGGCAGAUGUGGAGCUCAACCUGGUGCGCAUUGCUAUCCAGAACCUGCUGUACUACGGCGUUGUGACACUGGUGUCCAUCCUCCAGUACUCCAAUGUAUACUGCCCAACGCCCAAGGUCCAGGACCUGGUAGAUGACAAGUCCCUGCAGGAGGCAUGUCUAUCCUACGUGACCAAGCAAGGUAGUGGUGGGUUCUGGGGGAAGCCAUCUUGGGGAGGGCAGGGCCACAUGAUGAGCUGAUCCCUGGCACCCACAGGGCACAAGAGGGCCAGUCUCCGGGAUGUGUUCCAGCUAUACUGCAGCCUGAGCCCUGGCACUACCGUGCGAGACCUCAUUGGCCGCCACCCCCAGCAGCUGCAGCAUGUUGAUGAACGGAAGCUGAUCCAGUUCGGGCUUAUGAAGAACCUCAUCAGGCGACUACAGAAGUAUCCUGUGCGGGUGACUCGGGAAGAGCAGAGCCACCCUGCCCGGCUUUAUACAGGCUGCCACAGCUAUGACGAGAUCUGCUGCAAGACAGGCAUGAGCUACCAUGAGCUGGAUGAGCGGCUUGAAAAUGACCCCAACAUCAUCAUCUGCUGGAAGUGAGGCUGGUAGUGACUGGAUGGACACAUUGCUGUGGGUAGUCCCUCCUACUAGGAGGCUUGUCAUACUGUCUAGAGGUUGACUCUUAGUUCUGUAAAUAAAGACAUCCAUUUCAAACAGC